GCUAACUCCGUGCCAGCAGCCGCGGUAAUACGGAGGAUCCGAGCGUUAUCCGGAAUCAUUGGGUUUAAAGGGUCCGUAGGCGGGUAGAUAAGUCAGUGGUGAAAUCCGGCAGCUCAACUGUCGCACUGCCAUUGAUACUGUUUAUCUUGAAUUACUGUGAAGUGGUUAGAAUAUGUAGUGUAGCGGUGAAAUGCUUAGAUAUUACAUGGAAUACCAAUUGCGAAGGCAGAUCACUAACAGUAUAUUGACGCUGAGGGACGAAAGCGUGGGGAGCGAACAGGAUUAGAUACCCGGGUAGUC
rnacentral:rRNA from 1 species